GGAACAUAUAAUCUGAGAAAUCCAAGACACUUUUGAUUGAUUGGUUAUUGUCUGGAGUCUCUGAAAGACAUUGACCAAUGAAUGUGCAUCUCUUCCCUUUUCCCUCUCUUCAUCAUAUAAAGUGUAUAAAGCUUGAUCCAUUCCAGGAGGUGGCAGUAAUGCACAUAAACUGGUUUGCCAACCCUCAAUAAAACACAGAAGAAUGUGCUGCCUCAGGUUUUCAACAGGCGGCAAGGAAGUCGACCGGAAGUUGAAGUCGGCUGGGUGCCGCCAUCUUGUAGCAGAACUUCACUUGCGGAUAGGAUUGGCAUGGAAGAUGCAGCACUCUUUACAUUUUAAACGUAUGUUGCCACCCUAGAAGUCAAAGUCUUUUUACAUGUGACAUUAACAUAUUUAUUUUGUUCUAUUUUGUUGUUCUGUUAUUCUGUUGUUUGACUUUUUUUGUUUCAGAUCAAAUGUAUAUCAAGUGUUAUCCAUCCUCAUAACACCUCCACAAAUAGAGACUGGAACUUCUGAGCGCCAUCACCUUGUCUGCUAUGGGACUGUCAUAGGUGAAUGAUGCAGUAUUAUUCUGUGUUGAAUUUACCUAACGUCGGCACACAGACAUAGUAUUGUUCCAGUUUUGCUGUGCUCAUGUCUUCUUUGUGUCCCCAGCCCAGCAAUCAGAUGCAUCAGAACAACAAAGCACAACUGUGGUGCCCCAGGCACCUUCAGCAACAAGUAAAUUGCUUUAACAUUAAUGAUAAUUAAAUGUCAGUAUUGUAAUUAAACUUGACCCAUCUGACGUAAUUGUUCAUGCCAGAGAUUUAACAUCAUUGUCAGUCAGGAGCAUAUUUAACAGGAGGCACACUUCAGCUGGCUUGAAAGUAACUUCAGUUAGUGUGGUUGACCCUCUUGUUUUUUGUGGCUAUAACAAUUAGGCUAAAUAAUCUCACUCUCUUCCCUUUCCUUAACAUGAAACUUUUUUUUUUUGUUUUGAUACUGAACAGGUGCAGUGAAGAUAUUUAAAGAGACACUAUCACUAUCUAAAGUACAGAAAGCCGUACAUCAUCUCUAGGUCCAGUCACCUACAGUGCAGCCAGCUUCACAAAGACUG
rnacentral:lncRNA from 1 species